rnacentral:rRNA from 1 species
GGAAUCAACGCUGGCGGCGUGCCUAACACAUGCAAGUCGCACGAGAAAGUGGAGCAAUCCAUGAGUACAGUGGCGCACGGGUGAGUAACACGUGACUUAUCUGCCUCCGAGUGGGGAAUAACCUAGAGAAAUCUGGGCUAAUACCGCAUAACACUUACGAGUCAAAGCAGCAAUGCGCUUGGAGAGGAGGUCGCGGCAGAUUAGUUAGUUGGCGGGGUAAUGGCCCACCAAGACGAUGAUCUGUA